CUUUUCUUAUAUUUUCCCCAAAAAGUAAUUUUCAUCACAAGGACUGAUGUACACCAUGGACACUAUGGAUGGACCUUGUUAAUAUGUCUUUGUGAAUUUGAACCUGUCUCAGCACCCUUCGUGCAAGAGCCUGCUUGCUGAGGUCCUUCUUUGGCAGUCCUGCCCUCCAACACACCAGGCCAUAUACCCCAAACUGGUAUUACCCUCAAACCUGCAGAGGAAGGGGCUUUUUCAUGCCAUCCCAUCACCAAGCUUGUUGAUGAAGAUGUUGAAGAGGAUCGGCAACAGCAUCAGCCCCCUAGGAACAACACACAGCUCUGCAAGUUAAAUUUCAAGUCAUUACCUACUGCCACUCUACAAGAAUAUAUCAGAAACUUCACUAAAUAUGAGGCAAACUUCCACUGCUCUCCACUUAGUCACAGAGCCAGAGAUUUCACCAAACAAUUGGACUGUUCGAGCACAGUUUGCAUUUGGUAAUUCUGUUCUGGUUGUCCCCAGUCUUCAGACAUCUGUCUGGUAUUCUUUAUUGCUGCAGCACAGUGUGCUCAACUCAGCCAGGCUUUGACAAAGACAACUGAGAUUCCUAAUUUUCUACAACUAAUAUUCUAGCUUGAGCUAGCUUAAUGACAUAGAGAAAACUAUAAAGAUCUUAAAAAAAAUAAUGUCUUAAAUUUUCUUAAAUUUUUCACCAGGAGUUUUUUCAGAAGCUGCAUAACACUGCACUACCUAAAGAGGAUACCUUCAUUUGUAUCCUUUAAAACAGUGGGCCUAUGUUUUGUAAAGCAGGAAUGCCUUUCUUUCAGCACCUAAGACAAUAAAAUAUAUUAAAUUUUAAGGGCUGUAUCCUCACUUGUUUACAUCAGUGGGUGCCCUUUAGCUUUAGAGUAACUGUACUAGCUUAUGCCAAAGGAGGAUCUGGGCCCAGGUUUCUAUUUCCAGCUGGGUUUUGCUCAUGUGAAUGUAACAGUUCAUUUGGAACAUAUGGAAGAGGUGGGGGAGGGAGUUCCUGCUCACACAACUCAUGCAGCUAGAUUGAUUUUUGCUAAAACUUAAAAAAUAACCAGCACAUAUCAUGUGUGACAGUUGCUGUCCUGCAUAUCCCAUAGAAAUUAUAUUGUGUAAGAAAAUUUGAGUGUUAAUAUUUAGUAGUAUGGCAGCUAUGCCAUGCAACACUUAACCUGUCUGGGAAUAUGGUUAUUUCCAUUUUCAUAGUAAUGGGAUAUUCUAUCCCAAGAUGUGUUGAGAGAAAACACACUAAUGGGUUUUUAUGUGAACACCUGGAGGACCAAUUUAUACCAUGGAACUGGACCAGAAUUAUAUGAUUAAAUGCAAAUCAUCACUGUUGUAAACAAUACAAGGAGAGAGUAAACCAAAGCCUAACAUGAUAUAAUGAGAGAAAAAUAGGUUUUUCAGUGUCUGAAACACACAGGUCAGAUCAUGCAGCUCCCACAGUUUCUGUUAACACAAUUUUACAGUAGAAAAGUUUUUGUUGAUGCUAAAUCAAAGCCAACUUUCAUCUGAUUGAGUGGAAGAGAUGUAUUGCAUUACUGAGCAUGUUCUCUAGGGUCAGAAAUGUAUUCCUCUUAUUUACCUACCUGAUUUCCCACUGAAAACUACUAGGAAUAUGAAUACUGUAUAAUUUGUUGGAUUUGAAUGAAUCCCUCCUACAAAAGGUGUUGACCUGGGAGUUUUUUCUCCAGAUAUGAAAACAAUGGAUAUAUCCCAAGAGAAAAUGAGAGGACAUCUUCUAUUUCACAGUCCUUGCUUGUCUGUGGCACAUUCCCAUGCUCCUAGUGAGAAGCUAGGAUGUUUAGACAAGCUGUAUGUUAGGAGCUAGAAGGCGGUUUACAAUUUAACAGCAAAAAUAUUGCAAGCUAUCAAAAAACACAGUGAGAACAUGAGUUAAGUGCUUAUAAAUACCCAUUUCCUGUAAAAAAAAAAAAAAAAAAAAAAAAAAAAAAAAAGAGCUUUAAUGCAGAUAUAAAGCUGCUUGCUUCUGUCUUUUACUGUAUUUUCAUAACAUUUCCAUGGGCAAGAAGACAGGAAAGAGAAGUGCCAGUGUGGGAUCAUGCCCCCAGGUUUCUCUACAGUUCUGUGUUUGUCUAAAGUGAAGUGCCUGAAUUUGGAAAGUGCUACUGCUCACAUUUGUAAGAACUGCAAGAAUGUGACCACUUCAGGAAACAUUUUAUUUUUCUUUUUUUUUUCUUUUUUCUUACUUCUAAGCACUCACAAUCUAGAUUUAGGUGCCUAUUUAGACACUAAACAAGUUUUAAGAUGUCAGCUUUCAUGCUCAGCUUGAACACUUUUUUUUUUUGAUAAUAUAUUUAGCUGGGUCAAAUGUAUCCCUGAAGUAAUCUGGUCUAUUGUGCUUACAGUCUGCUUAACUUUUAUUUUCUGAUUAUUUCUUCUUUGGUUUACCUUUGUUUUUCUACCCUGUGGCAAAUAAACAAUUCUUUCAUUGAAGAUA